UUUUUUACAGGAAUAAUGAAAAGUGGUUGGAUACGAAUAUUCCGUGACCAUACUGACAUCAGAAAACGUGCCAACCGAUUCUACAUCCUCUUCUACUGGAAAACGAGGAAGGCCGUGUGGACUCUUUUUUCAGGAGUGGAAGGACUCUUCAUAAUCAAGCAAAAAAAAGAAAAUACUAUGU